AAGCAUGUAUCACAUGUAUCACAUGCUUUACGUGGAGAGGCGUGACUUCAAAAAAAAUAAAUAAAAUAAACAACCCAAAAGAACUAAAGAACUUAGGUGGUUGUGGAGAAUCAGAUGACUGGUCUCUUCCAGACAUUGGUUGUGAGAUCUUUGGCAGUAAAUACAGACACCCUUCUAGUGAAAGGACCUCACUUCCGCUGAAGAGAAAGAAGUUGGUUCAUGACUCCUAGGCACACAGGGUGCAUUGACUCAAUUUCAUUUGUUUGACAGCACUUGGUAAUGGAUGCUGAAACUCCAAAUCCCAAUCCUGGUCACCUUUGGUGAAUGCAGACAUCAUAUGUGUUGCCUGUAGCAGCCAUGCAAGGGGUUUGAGUUGUCUUGAAAGUUUCUGAUGAGUGGAGUUUUAACCCAAUUUCCAUCUGCUGCACCUGCACUGCAUGGAUUCUUGACCAUCUCUGCGUGGUAGUAUAAAAACUGCUACCCUCCUCACUCCUGUAAUGCAGACCACAUUUAGAGCUUCGUAAAGUGUUUAAUUACUUUGACUCUUGCAGAACUUUACAUUUGUGCAUGUCACAACACACAUGGAACACAUGAGCAAAGAAGAGUGUAACAUUUCUGAAGGCAUUGAUCUAUGCUACUUCUGUUACUAUUUGCAAUAAAAUAAGUGUGCUUACCUUCAA